CGGUCCUGUAAGGUACAACUCAAGUUUCAAGUCGCAUUUAAGCGCGGGGGUGACCCUUAGCCAUUACGCCCUUCUUAAAGGGAAUUUUCACCGUCUCUCCCACUGGCCGACGAUGUUGUACUGGAAACCGUGGUCUCCUGUGUCCACUCGGACAGGACGCCCCCAAACCAGUUCUCUGUUUCUCUCACUCACGGAGGGCAGGUCAGGACCACGUGGCGAGGACCAAGCCCCAGCGAGUCCCGGUGAGGACGGGGCCGCCAGCAGGCGCUUCCCCACACCAGCCAGCAGGUGACAGACAAGCCAGGAGGGACGGCAAGGUGUCACCACUGACAGCCGCCAGAGACUCACAUCGACGGGACACAAACGACAGGACCCCGGUUCCAAAGGAGCAAAGGAUAGAACCACACGAUUCCCGAAGAUCUGACCCAGACGCACAAGCACUUUGGGAAGGUGUCCACAUUGCCAAGCAGUGGAGGAAACGCAGGUGAAAAGGACAACGGAACCGGACGCACUCGGUGACCGCAGGAACGGGUUUGAUUAAAGCAGCCCGGCGCUGGCGAAAAACCACAAAUAUGCGCACGCCGUGGCCCUGCCCUGGGGCCGAGCCCGCGACGCAGCACUCGUGCACACGCCAUCACCGUCCAGCAACGGGACGGUGCGGCUGGAGGUCCCUGCCCCGUGAGGGGGGCAGCCGAGGUAAGAGAUGCACGGGGGAGGAGGGCACUUAAGAUCAGGCACAUACAGCACUGUGGUCACGAGCUUGUGCAAAGCUCUGUGUGAAUGGGGUGAACAAACGUGCAAACACACAAUCUACACCCACACCAGGUGUUCCUUUCAAUACAGAAAUGCGAUCAGAACGGGCUUGCUCUGCAGUGUGCCCUUUCCCUCCGCAUAGGGGCCUUUCACGGCCCGCACAGUGUUCCUUCCCACAGCGGCGGAGGCCCUGGCCCCACAGCUUCCACGGCGUCACCGGCCCCAGGGCUCCAGGGUGCACUUCCUGGCUGAGGGCUGAGGGCCAGCAUCCCUGGGCGACCUGGUGAUCUGCAGCUCCCUCCCUAUGUGUGUGUGUGUGUGUGUGCGCGCGCACGUGUGCGUAUAUUCUGGAUACCAGACCCUUGGUGACUACGUGUCAAAUCUUUCUCUUAGGACAACACUCGAUUUUUAACUUGAUGGUACCUUUUCUCGCUCAAAACUUGCCCGGUUUUACACAACUGAUUUUGUUAAUCCUUCACUUUAUGCGUUCGGGGUCUUCGACUAGCCUCGCACAGCCUUCUCGAACCCCUAAGUUACACAAGAGACCUCCGGUGUUUCCUGGCUCCUUACAGCAUCUGGAAGAUCUACUCUUGUGAGUGCAGUGAGGGGGCACCAUUGCCCAGAGGUCUGUCGUCUGCCGCCCCGUCACUUGCCACUGAGACUGGGCCACACCGUUCACGGGAAUGCCAGAGAGCGUGAGUGAGCGCCGUUCAGUCCUGCGGGCUUCGCCGUCUGCGUGGGCUCUAGAUGGCCCAUCGACACUUACUUUUAUAAUUUUUUUUAACGUUUGUAUUUAUUUUUGAGAGAAAGCGAGAGAGACAGAGUGCUCUGCGGGGGCAGAGAGAGAGGGCGACACAGAAUCCGAAACAGGCUCCAGGCUCCGAGCUGUCAGCACAGAGCCCGACGCGGGGCUCAAACCCACGAGCUGUGAGAUCAUGACCUGAGCCGAAGUCGGACGCUUAACCGACUGAGCCACCCAGGCGCCCCAACGUUUACUUUAAAUUGUUAAUAUCUGCGUGGAGAUCACAGCGAUUUGACAUUUGGGAAGACACACGUUGUGACGCCAUUUCCUCUCAACCAGAAACGGAGCCGUGUCUCGUUCAUUCACGUCCUCUCACGUGUCCCGCGGGAGAGCUGUCGCCAGUGUUUCUGCGUGUGUGGGGGGGACCCGACGCCGGUGCGCAGGUCGUCCAUGAGCCUUCCCCCAUGCCGCCGUGUCCGGGGUCAGGAGCAGCAGCCACAGCAUCUUGUCUCCUUCCUGAGCCUUCCAGGCCGAGAGUCUGGGACAGAUUUUCACAGCUUCACCAAACUGGAAGAAACUCCCUUCUUUUCCCAGUUUCCGAGUGUUCAGGGAGCAGGGCUUACACAGCCUCAGAGGAUUCCGCGGCACUCGUUAAGGGCCCCUCCCUCUGCCUCGGAGGCAGACGCAUGGCAGACCGGCUCCCCCAGCCUCUCCUGGCCUCCCUGUUGCCGCUCGAGGGAUGUGGCGCCGGGCACGCGCUCUGCACGAAGGGGUCCUUGCCGCCAUCGAGGCCUUCCUUUGAGCCCCCGGACAUGGUGGGGCCGGAGUCCGGCCUCACCUGACAGGGGCCGCCCGCCCCGCACACGACUUGACGCUCCAGCUUUCAGAAUCUUUCUUUCUACGGACAGCAGAGAAGCAGGCUUUGCUUUACAGACCACUUGGGGAAUCUUUCAACAGGUGAGUUAAUUCAAUUCCCUGUUUACAGACAGAACGAUACGCCGUGCACAAGUCUGACCUACCAGCCUGUUCUGUUCGCACGCGGGCCUCUUAAGCCUUUCACCGCAAAGGAACGCGGAUCUCGUUACAAUUUUCCCGUCCUGUUGGCUAUUUGGAGUUUUGUCCUCCCGACCGCCCUUUAUAAGCAGCCCGGCAUCUCCAGCCGUGUGUGGCACCCACGGGUCUGCCACCAUGGCCUCAGUGACCCCACCUCGCCAGCACCGCUCGGCCACCUUCGGUCUCCCUCCGGGAGUUACCGGCUCCGAUCCCCGGCUGCCACCGGAGGUGACCUGGGCUGCCCUUCCCUGUGUCGGGCACGAUACCCCAAGCGCGCUGUGCUCCCGGACAGUCUCCUGGCUCCGCGCCUCACACUCGAGCCUCUUACCCUGUAGCCGCUGCCCCUGACGAACGGCUCAGCUGGCCGCAGGGUCUCUGGUCUCUGGCCCUCUCUUCUCCUGAACACCGUGUGGGAGCUGACCCUCUGUGCUCAGGCGCGGAGCUCUGUGUCCACAGCUGGCAAGCCAGCCUCAUUCCCUUCCCUGGCACGCAAUUCAGCGUCUUCGUCUGGCUACCGGAGGGGUUUGUCACACCCAUAAUUUUGAUACAAUACUCACUACGCUGGCCGUUCUGGAUGGAUUUCCCGGAAACACAGCACCGUCUUCACCUCCUUCCGGUGUCCGGAGCGCCCGCGGUCACGCAGAGACUGUCCUCGGCCUGUGCCCUGUGUUGUGCUGGUCUCGUCCUUCCCCGCUGUCUCCCCGCCGCGUCCUGCUCAGUCCCCGCGUCUGUCCCACGUCUGCCCCGCGCUCCCACGCGUUCCGGGCAGCUGAAGCUUCUGCUGGGAGAUGCCGGUCUCCUCCCGUUCCACCCCACGCCCCCUGCGUUCCCGACUCAGCCCUGCCUGCCGUCCGGCCGCCUCCGACUCCUCACUCUCUCAAGUCCAGUGCUUUGUGACGGCACCCGUCCCAGUGGCUUCUCUCCACCACAGGCAGCUUCUGUGGUCCCUUCACCACCCGGCUCGGAGGGCGCCGGGGCUCCGCAGCAGCCGGACUCAGGGAACGUGCACCGCGUGCUCUGUCUCGGGCACCUUCUCUCUCUCGGAAGACGGCCCUUCCCAAGCCCGUCACUCCUGCCUCCCAGGAGCCCCCACACCUCCUGUCUCCGCUGCCCCCUUCCGAGACUCAGUGCUGCUGCCCAGCAGGUGCCACCCGCAGACGGCUCUUCGUCUCUUCCGACAAAGGCACUUCCAGGCUGAUGGCCUGUCUGUCCCCAGCCCCACCGAAGACGUACUCCAUAUACUUUUUGUUGCUGUUGCUCUGGGAGCGAGAAGCCACUCUCUCCUACCACAGUCCCACAUGUAUUUUAAUGUUUACAGGUUCCUGUUGCUGCACCGUGGGUCCGCUCCUGUCUCCUGUUUUCUUCAUUGACCUUCUUUUAAGAUCUCUCCAAGCUGUUAGAUACGCAUUGAGUUCCUGGGUCUCCUCCACCCCCACAACUGCACCCAGUAAGCAGGGGAGUGAGGACCCUACUAAGGCCUCCUCCUUGGCUGCUGUGCCUGUUCAAAGUCUACCUUAUCUGAUGCUAAUGUACUACGAACAGCCUUCUCUGCACUAGCCUUUACUAAGUUUUUAAUUUUCUAGUACACUUACAAGCUUUCUGCUUCCUUUUUUUGUUUAACUUUUUAAAGUAAUCUCCACACCCAACAUGGGGCUUGAACUCAUGACCCCGAGAUCAGAGAGUCCCGUACUCCACAGACUGAGCCGGCCAGGCACCCCUCUAAGUUCAUUCUUAAUACGUAAGUCGCAGAGCUUCAGAUCAGAUUCCUGGGGUGCCUGGGUGGCUCAGUCGGUUAAGCGUCCGACUUCAGCUCAGGUCAUGAUCUCACGGUCCGUGAGUUCGAGCCCCG